rnacentral:rRNA from 1 species
GGGGGAUAACGUAGGGAAACUUACGCUAAUACCGCAUACGACCUACGGGUGAAAGCAGGGGGACCUUCGGGCCUUGCGCGAUUGAAUGAGCCGAUGUCGGAUUAGCUAGUUGGCGGGGUAAAGGCCCACCAAGGCGACGAUCCGUAGCUGGUCUGAGAGGAUGAUCAGCCACACUGGAACUGAGACACGGUCCAGACUCCUACGGGAGGCAGCAGUGGGGAAUAUUGGACAAUGGGCGCAAGCCUGAUCCAGCCAUACCGCGUGGGUGAAGAAGGCCUUCGGGUUGUAAAGCCCUUUUGUUGGGAAAGAAAUCCAGCCGGCUAAUACCCGGUUGGGAUGACGGUACCCAAAGAAUAAGCACCGGCUAACUUCGUGCCAGCAGCCGCGGUAAUACGAAGGGUGCAAGCGUUACUCGGAAUUACUGGGCGUAAAGCGUGCGUAGGUGGUCGUUUAAGUCCGUUGUGAAAGCCCUGGGCUCAACCUGGGAACUGCAGUGGAUACUGGGCGACUAGAGUGUGGUAGAGGGUAGCGGAAUUCCUGGUGUAGCAGUGAAAUGCGUAGAGAUCAGGAGGAACAUCCAUGGCGAAGGCAGCUACCUGGACCAGACACUGACACUGAGGCACGAAAGCGUG